AAUGAACGUUGGCGGCGUGGAUUAGGCAUGCAAGUCGAGCGAGAAGCACCAGCUUGCUGGUGUGGACAGCGGCGAAAGGGAGAGUAAUACGUAGAAAUCUGCCCCGGAGUCUGGGAUAGCGUUGGGAAACUGGCGGUAAUACCGGAUAACGUCUUCGGACCAAAGAAUUUUGCUCUGGGAUGAGUCUACGACCUACUAGCUAGUUGGAGGGGUAACGGCCCACCAAGGCAACGAUGGGUAGCGGGUGUGAGAGCACGAUCCGCCUCACUGGGACUGAGACACUGCCCAGACAUCUACGGAUGGCUGCAGUCGAGAAUCUUUGUCAAUGGACGAAAGUCUGAACAAGCGACGCCGCGUGCGGGAUGAAGGCCUUCGGGUUGUAAACCGCUGUCAGAGGGAAGGAAAUUUUGACUGAACCUCAGAGGAAGGACGGGCUAAGUUCG
rnacentral:rRNA from 1 species